UUGAAACCAAAUUCAAAAAAUGAGCGCACAAGCUAUCAUGAACAUCAUAAAAACUCCGGUCAGGGUGCCACCACCAACCACCACGCCAAAGGUUGUCUCUGGCAGCAGUGGUGCACCAAAAUGCAAAUUAACACCACCAUCCUCAUUGCAAACUCACGCUGAGUCUGAAUACAAGAUUAAUUUCACGGAAUUCUCAACCCUAAGUCCUAACCGAAAGGGAAGCAUUCAAGAACCCUAGGCAAAAAAUGAUAAAUUAAACGAUGGUUGUUCACAGAUUCAUGAUCGAAGCUCAGGGCUAAUUAUACCCAGAGCAUAAUCUACACAACGGUAACAAGAUCGUGCAGAAACGAGGAGAAAAAUAACUACCUCAGAAGCGGAGAUUUGCUCCGGAAAAACGUUGCAUCGGGGAAGAAGCUUGCAACGAAGAAAAUCACUUGAAUCAGGUUGUGUCAGCUACGUUAAUAUGCUAUGUAAUGUUGGUGCAGACUUGGUGUGAAGCUUGAUUGUCUUGCUGUAGGUUUAGGCAUGAUUGGCUGCAUGGCUAGGUUUGCUGACUUGAUGCAGGUUGUGCUUGAAUUGAUGUUGUUAUUUUAUAAUUGGUGGUUUGUCUUGUAGGUUAGGGCAGUAGGUUAGUUUGCACUUGGUUGCAUUGCAUGAUGUGUUACCUAGGUUUAGUUUGAUUGAAUGGUAACUUGCAGGUGAUUUGCAGGCUGUAGGCUUUGGUUUGAUUUGCUGCAGCCUAUGGUUUAUGUAAGGAUUUGAAUGUUUUUUCCUGGAAAUGCAUGUUUUCCCAUUUAUUCAUGCUGCAGAUGUGCAUGUAUGUAUGUUCAUGCUAGGUUAAUGGACUAUGGCCAUGUAGGAUAUGUUGACAUGCUUGAAUUAGUUUUGAAUGCUUGAAAUGUGUGUUAGAUGAUGCCAUGGAUGGUUUACUUUGUAGCUGUUUGGAUUGUGACAGGGCUGUUAGCGAUGAUGUGAAUGCAAGGCUCAAAGAUAUGGCAAAACAAUGCUUGGCAAAUGCACAUUCAAGGUAUGGCAAAUGAGCAUUCAAGGCAUGGAAAAACAAUGGUGUAAAAGGUGGCUUUCUUGCUUAUGAAGACAUUGGUCAUGGAGUCAUAUGGAGGCAUGCAAGAAUGAAGAUGCAGUAUGUAUUAGAGUUUAGGUUGUGAAAAGAUGGGUCAGUUGACUUUGGCCAAUUGGUUGACCAAAAAGUCAACAAUUGACCAAAAUUCAACUUUUACAAAAAUUGUAUUUUUGUGGUAUUUUCUUGUAUGGAAUUUGGAAAAUGAUGCUUGUAAGAUUGAAUGGACAACUAUUUGAAAUGGAAAUGAUCUUUAUUGAAUGAAAA